CGGACCUACGGGGCGCAGCAGUGAGGAAUAUUGGUCAAUGGGCUUACGCCUGAACCAGCCAAGUCGCGUGAGGGAAGACUGCCCUAUGGGUUGUAAACCUCUUUUGUCAGGGAGCAAUUGGCGCUACGUGUAGCGUUAUCGAGAGUACCUGAAGAAAAAGCAUCGGCUAACUCCGUGCCAGCAGCCGCGGUAAUACGGAGGAUGCGAGCGUUAUCCGGAUUUAUUGGGUUUAAAGGGUGCGUAGGCGGGUUAUCAAGUCAGCGGUAAAAUCGUGGAGCUCAACUCCAUCCAGCCGUUGAAACUGA
rnacentral:rRNA from 1 species